rnacentral:rRNA from 1 species
AUUGAACGCUGGCGGCAGGCCUAACACAUGCAAGUCGAGCGGUAGCACAGGGAGCUUGCUCCUGGGUGACGAGCGGCGGACGGGUGAGUAAUGUCUGGGAAACUGCCUGAUGGAGGGGGAUAACUACUGGAAACGGUAGCUAAUACCGCAUAACGCCGCAAGACCAAAGAGGGGGACCUUCGGGCCUCUUGCCAUCAGAUGUGCCCAGAUGGGACUAGCUAGUAGGUGGGGUAACGGCUCACCUAGGCGACGAUCCCUAGCUGGUCUGAGAGGAUGGCCAGCCACACUGGAACUGAGACACGGUCCAGACUCCUACGGGAGGCAGCAGUGGGGAAUAUUGCACAAUGGGCGCAAGCCUGAUGCAGCCAUGCCGCGUGUAUGAAGAAGGCCUUCGGGUUGUAAAGUACUUUCAGCGGGGAGGAAGGUGUUGAGGUUAAUAGCCUCAGCAAUUGACGUUACCCGCAGAAGAAGCACCGGCUAACUCCGUGCCAGCAGCCGCCGUAA